rnacentral:misc_RNA from 1 species
GAAAUGCGAUAAGUAGUGUGAAUUGCAGAAUUCAGUGAAUCAUCGAAUCUUUGAACGCACAUUGCACCCUUUGGUAUUCCAAAGGGCAUGCCUGUUCGAGCGUCAUUUGUACCCUCAAGCUUUGCUUGGUGUUGGGCGUCUUGUCUCCAGUUCGCUGGAGACUCGCCUUAAAGUAAUUGGCAGCCGGCCUACUGGUUUCGGAGCGCAGCACAAGUCGCGCUCUCUUCCAGCCAAGGUCAGCAUCCACAAAGCCUUUUUUCAACUUUUGACCUCGGAUCAGGUAGGGAUACCCGCUGAACUUAAGC